GACGAACGCUGGCGGCGCGCUUAACACAUGCAAGUCGAACGGAAAGGCCUGCUUUCCCUUGUGGAUUGCGGGUACUCGAGUGGCGAACGGGUGAGUAACACGUGAGUGAUCUGCCCCCAACUUGGGUAUAAGCCUGGGAAACUGGGUCUAAUUCCCGAUAGGACUGCAGGGUGGUGCCUGUGGUGGAAAACGAUUUUCUAGUGGUUGGGGAUGAGCUCGCGGCCUAUCAGCUUGUCGGUGGGGUAAUGGCCUACCAAGGCGGCGACGGGUAGCCGGCCUGAGAGGGUGGACGGCAACAUUGGGACUGAGAUACGGCCCAGACUCCUACGGGAGGCAGCAGUGGGGAAUAUUGCACAAGGGGCGGAAGCCUGAUGCAGCGACGCCGCGUGGGGGAUGACGGCCUUCGGGUUGUAAACUCCUUUCGACCGCGAGGAAGCCACCUGGUUGGAAGGGUGGUGACGGUAGUGGUAGAAGAAGCACCGGCUAACUACGUG
rnacentral:rRNA from 1 species